CCUGAAAAUCUACUAGUCUACCUUUAACUGUUUUUAGUUUUUCUGGUGAUUAUCCUCAUAUCUCUAAAUAAUAUACAUAUAUUCUAUUUAUCAACUUAUCUAUCAAUUUUAGUCAUUGUCUGUUGAUGACCUGCUAUUUAUGCCAACAAACUACUCUCCUCCUAUGCCUUCAGUAUAGAGAUGUCGCCAGUUAUAUAUCCUCUAUUCCUUACCUUUUAACCUUUAACUAAUAGAUUUCUAUUUCUUAAUUCUGUCUUCUUUACUUUUAUAUUAACAAGGUUAAUAAUAUUUUAACAUUCUGUCUGUAACCAUAAUUAAGUCAUCUGUACUUUGUUGAUAGUUCAUUCUAAAAGUUUAAAUUCAAUAAAGUGUUUCUGCUUUUAUGAUUAUGUAAAUAUUGUUCCAUAAAGAUCCAAUAGGAUUACAUUUCUUUCUGUAUACAGUAUUUUUUCCUGUAGUUUCUAAAUGCCUUUCUUUUUUCCCUUGCAUUGCCUGACUUUAUCAUCUUCUCAAUUUAUUUCAAAUUCUCAAGGAAAGUAUAAAAUCAUUUGAAUCCCCUUUUUCCCCAGAUACCUUCCUCCUGGAGCCUCCGUCUUCCUGCUCCAAUUUGGACUGAUUGCUCUGUAGGCCUGCGGCACAGCUGUCAUCCUGGGACGUCCCUUCAUUACUCUUCUGGGUUGGACCCAAUCUUUCUUGGACCCCAUAUCUUCCUCUUUCUUAAUUAUUCCCUUGUAGUGGACAUUGUGGUUAUUUUCCAACAUCCAUUCCACUUCUCCCCCAUUGUAUAACAACUGUGCAAUUUGAGUGGGAUUGACCCCACCAGCAGCUCUAGGUAUAGGCCUUCAUUGGUAUAAAUUGAUCUGAGUAAUUUCAUCCCCCAGCUAAGUGAUGAUUGGUUCAGGGAUGAUCCAGUCACACUGAGGCUUAGGAAUUUUGUUCAGCUUUAGAGGGAAGAGAUAGCCCCUCUUCCCUGUAUAUGAACAAAGAAGCAUGUGGCUUUGUUGCUGCUGUUUGCCAUGUUGUGAACAUGUAGAAGGCUUACCUGAGGAUGGAACUGACAAGUGGAGGAGGCAGAACCAAGAGAAUCACAAAGAAAUGGAACCAUAUUCCAGAUCGUACCAGACCUGAAGUCUCCCCACCUAUGGACUCCUAAGUUAAGUGAGCCAAUAAAUUGCAUUUACUUUUUAAGCCAGUUUGAGUUGGGUUUUCUAUUGUUUAUACCUGAAAGCAUUUUAAUUUGUUUUUGGUGUCUCCCUUUGGAAAGGAUGAGUACAGAUUUGGUGAUUUGAGGUAUAUUGUCACAUGGAAGCAUUUUUUCAAAGUGUAAAUAUGGGAGAAAGGAUAUAUGUGGGUGUAGGACAACCAAGUGAACUCUAAUGUUGGCUUAGUAUCUAAAUCCUAUUACCAUUUUGGGGACAUUCCCCCCUAGUGGGAGUCUUGGUCCCCGGAUUUUCUCCUAUGGGAACUAAAGGUGGUCAAAUAGUUCCUCUCCCUGUCCAGCAGGUAAUAAGGGCUGAAUACUCUGUUCACAGCUUUCAAUCUGGAGUCAGCAACACACAGAAACCAGAAAUACACAAAUUAACAGAAUGAUAAUAGAUGAAGAGACUAUAUUUGUAAUGUUUUAAAUUGACAGAAGAUUGAUCAAUAAAAAAAGGAGAUAGUAAACCCAUCAGGAAAGUGAUCAUAGGAUAUGAAGAGUAAUUUACACAGGUAGAAACUUGAAUAUAUUAAGAAAUUUUCAACUCUGCUAAUAAUUAGAGAAAUGAGAAUUAAAAUAACAGUGAGAAAUCACUAUAAAAGUGGUAACAUGUAGAAAGUUAAAUAUUAUCAUUUGCUGAUGAGGAAAUGUGAGAAAAAGGACAAUUAUCGAUGGGAGCAUAAACUGGUACAGCUAUUCCAGAGCAGUUUGGCAGUCUCUUACAACAUUAAGUAUGUAUAUACCAUGCAAUCCAGAAAUCCUAUUCCCCAGUGUAUAUUCUAGAGAAAUUCUCACACAGGUCCUAAGGAAAUAGAAUUGAGGUUGUUUAUUGCAGCAUUGUUUGUGGUAGUGGAAAUUGGAAGCAAUCUAAGUGUCACCAUGGGACUGGAUAAGCAAACUGAAGUAUAUCCAUAGGAUGGAAAAGUAUAAAACAAUUAAAAGCAGUAAGCUACAUUUACAUAUAGCCACAUGAGUAGAUCCCCAAACCUAGUUUUGAAUGAAGAAAGCAAGAAACAGUAAGAUUUAUAGCAUAAUAUUUAUAUAAAUGUAAAACAACAGUGUGUAUUUUCAUGGGUAUGCAUAUAUCUAAAUAAACAUAUGGAAGAUGGAUCCAAAGGAUAAACACAUUAAUUACACUGGAGAGGUUCACCACAAUGGACAGGAGAAUGGAAGUGAGCAUGGGAACUGAGAGGGCAAAAUAAUAAAGGAAAAGAACAGCCACAUAAUGCACAAUGAAUCAAUGAUUAUGAUUAACUGAACCCUGAAGUCCACAACAAAGAAGGCAAAGUAACAAAUGCAAGGAUGUAGAGUUCACGUGCAGUGGCAUAUGAUGGUAGGUAGCAUCAUGUGCACUGGGAGCAGCAGUGGGGGUGGCAGUGGUUGCCUUCCUACAGUAGGACCUUAGCUUUCGUUUCUCCUGCCUAGCCUCUGCCCACUUUCUUAGCCCGAUUCUUUGGACUCCUAUGAGUUACCUGAUAACCUUGCAAUAAAUACCUUUUCUGCUUAAGUUUACCAGCAUCGUUUCCGUUAUUUGCAUCCAAGAAUCCUGACUGAUAGAUCAUGCAUUUUGUUGGAGAAGAAUACUCAAAUAACUUCUUGAAAAAGUUGUACUGCCUGGAGCCAUGACAGCCAUCUUGUGAACAUGAAGAGAUGAGCAUGAGGAUGAAGACAAUACAUUAAAGAAGAAAAAAUUAGAAGGAAUUUGCUUCCCCACCAGGCAGCUGAACCCAUGUAACACUUCCUGUUAAUUUAAAAAGUGAAUGAAUGAAUAAAUAAAGCCUUAUGUGUCUAA